AAACGUGCAUAUUCUAAUAAUUGAAAUUUAUGAAUCGUGUAUUAGGACAUUAACCUUGAAAGAACCUACAGCCGCCAAACAGGAUACUUCAGUAAAUGUUUGUUGCCGAUGUAAAAUUUCAUUGCGUCAUAGUCGUUUAUAAAAGCAGGAUAAUAGCACAGUAUUUUAAAGCCUUUCGAACACUGACGGUAUUUUGUCAUAGAACUAAUAAAAAAAUGAAGGUUUCUAUUUGUUUUUUCGUCUGUCUAUUGUUAUUUUCCAUAGUAGUCAACAUGGCGG